rnacentral:rRNA from 1 species
AUGGCUCAGAACGAACGCUGGCGGCGUGCUUAACACAUGCAAGUCGAACGCGAAAGGGACUUCGGUCCUGAGUAAAGUGGCGCACGGGUGAGUAACGCGUAGAUAACCUGUCUUCAUGUCUGGAAUAAUACGCCGAAAGGGGUACUAAUACCGGAUAUUCUUGCUUUUCAUAAGUUAUGCAAGCAAAGGUGGCCUCUGCAUAUGCUACUGCGUGAAGAGGGGUCUGCGUACCAUUAGCUAGUAGGUGGGGUAAUGGCCUACCUAGGCGACGAUGGUUAGCGGGUCUGAGAGGAUGAUCCGCCACACUGGCACUGGAACACGGGCCAGACUCCUACGGGAGGCAGCAGUGAGGAAUAUUGCGCAAUGGGGGAAACCCUGACGCAGCGACGCCGCGUGAGUGAGGAAGGCCUUCGGGUCGUAAAGCUCUGUCAAGAGGAAAGAAGUGUACAAUGGCUAAUACCUGUUGUAUUUGACGGUACCUCUAAAGGAAGCACCGGCUAACUCCGUGCCAGCCGCCGC